rnacentral:rRNA from 1 species
AAAGAACCCCGGCGAGGGGAGUGAAAAAGAACCUGAAACCGUGUACGUACAAGCAGUGGGAGCACCUUCGGGUGUGACUGCGUACCUUUUGUAUAAUGGGUCAGCGACUUAUAUUCUGUAGCAAGGUUAACCGUAUAGGGGAGCCGCAGGGAAACCGAGUCUUAACUGGGCGUUAAGUUGCAGGGUAUAGACCCGAAACCCGGUGAUCUAGCCAUGGGCAGGUUGAAGGUUGGGUAACACUAACUGGAGGACCGAACCGACUAAUGUUGAAAAAUUAGCGGAUGACUUGUGGCUGGGGGUGAAAGGCCAAUCAAACCGGGAGAUAGCUGGUUCUCCCCGAAAGCUAUUUAGGUAGCGCCUCGUGAACUCAUCUUCGGGGGUAGAGCACUGUUUCGGCUAGGGGGUCAUCCCGACUUACCAACCCGAUGCAAACUACGAAUACCGAAGAAUGUUAUCACGGGAGACACACGGCGGGUGCUAACGUCCGUCGUGAAGAGGGAAACAACCCAGACCGCCAGCUAAGGUCCCAAAGUCAUGGUUAAGUGGGAAACGAUGUGGGAAGGCACAGACAGCCAGGAUGUUGGCUUAGAAGCAGCCAUCAUUUAAAGAAAGCGUAAUAGCUCACUGGUCGAGUCGGCCUGCGCGGAAGAUGUAACGGGGCUAAACCAUGCACCGAAGCUGCGGCAGCGACACUAUGUGUUGUUGGGUAGGGGAGCGUUCUGUAAGCCUGCGAAGGUGUGCUGUGAGGCAUGCUGGA